UAUUUUUGAACUACUCUCUUUGCUGGAGCCAUGAUGACCCUGUGUUCUGUGGAAAUAUAUUGACACAAUUUAAGAGCCAGGUUGACUCAUUGGAAAAGACUCUGAUGCCGGGAGGGAUUGGGGGCAGGAGGAGAAGGGGACGACAGAGGAUGAGAUGGCUGGAUGGCAUCACGGACUCAGUGGACGUGAGUCUGAGUGAACUCCGGGAGCUGGUGACGGACAGGGAGGCCUGCACAAUUCAUGGGGUUGCAAAGAGUCAGACACAACUGAGCGACUGAACUGAACUGAACUGAAGAGCCAGGUGCAUCAAAGUAGUAGAUGAGAAAAGAAAGGGAGACAGAGAGGAAAAGAGAAGGGGUAGGAAGCAAAAUUUUGAAUUCCAAAAUGUAUCAAACACUCUGGAAUAUUCAUAAAUGUGAUUACCUUUUACCAUGAAAGAGAUUAUGUUGAAUGCUGAGAAUCAUGAGGAACAAAUGUCCUUCCUUUGGGAGAAGAAUGGAGAUUAUUAAACAAUAUAGAUUUGACUAAUGAAGCCAGAGCACAAGGAGACAGAAUGAAGACGGCACACCGCUACGCUACUCCUCCUCUCGUCACCAUCCCUUCUAAGCUCCAUUCAAACUUGCCUGUGCAUGAAUGCUGUCUCUCAAGCAAACCUGGAGAGCAACUUUAUGUCUGGACACUAUCCUAUGAUGCGAUCAGAGGGCUACCACCCCUCUUCAUCUCAGGCUAUUACAGAGAAUCAAAAUAAACUUGGAAAACUCCCCAGCUUUGCAUCCUUAUAAUGAACCCUCAUGCUCUACUCACAAGUUUCUUCACCAAACCACACGGUCGUCG
rnacentral:lncRNA from 1 species